rnacentral:tmRNA from 1 species
GGGGGUGAAACGGCUUCGACGGGGUUGAGAAAGGCUGUGGAGGCAACUCGGCAUGGUACCGCCGUAACGGGCUAAAAUCACAAUUGCCAACGACGAGCAUUAUUCGCCGGUUCUCGCUGCAGCGUAAGCUGUAGCGGAACGGGGCCUUGAUUCAGGCCUGGCAACAGGAGCCGCGAGGCAGGAUCAAACCGGAACGUGAGCGCCGGCCUAAAUCCAGAGGCACCCAGUCCUGCGAGGUAACGGAGGACCCAAAGCACGCCGAUUGCAACGCUGCGGGCCAACAUAUCGGCAAAAUGGUUGUAACUCCUCCUGGUUGAGUACUGAUUUCGGACGCGGGUUCAACUCCCGCCACCUCCACCA